UAGGGAAUCUUCGGCAAUGGGGGCAACCCUGACCGAGCAACGCCGCAUGAGUGAAGAAGGUUUUCGGAUCGUAAAGCUCUGUUGUAAGAGAGGAACGUGUGUGAGAGUGGAAAGUUCACACAGUGACGGUAACUUACCAGAAAGGGACGGCUAACUACGUGCCGA
rnacentral:rRNA from 1 species